rnacentral:rRNA from 4 species
AGACCCGAAACCCGGUGAUCUAGCCAUGGGCAGGUUGAAGGUUGGGUAACACUAACUGGAGGACCGAACCGACUAAUGUUGAAAAAUUAGCGGAUGACCUGUGGCUGGGGGUGAAAGGCCAAUCAAACCGGGAGAUAGCUGGUUCUCCCCGAAAGCUAUUUAGGUAGCGCCUCGUGAAUUCAUCUCCGGGGGUAGAGCACUGUUUCGGCUAGGGGGCCAUCCCGGCUUACCAACCCGAUGCAAACUGCGAAUACCGGAGAAUGUUAUCACGGGAGACACACGGCGGGUGCUAACGUCCGUCGUGAAGAGGGAAACAACCCAGACCGCCAGCUAAGGUCCCAAAGUCAUGGUUAAGUGGGAAACGAUGUGGGAAGGCCCAGACAGCCAGGAUGUUGGCUUAGAAGCAGCCAUCAUUUAAAGAAAGCGUAAUAGCUCACUGGUCGAGUCGGCCUGCGCGGAAGAUGUAACGGGGCUAAACCAUGCACCGAAGCUGCGGCAGCGAACGUAUCACCCAAGACAACUUUACGGAGUUGGCGAUUGACGGAGCGAAGCGACGUCAAAGCGUUCAUUAAAGUCGAGUUGGCUUAGGGAUACGUUCGUUGGGUAGGGGAGCGUUCUGUAAGCCUGUGAAGGUGUGUCGUGA